UGGUGUUAAGAGUCAGGCGAACUUGAUUUCACAUGUCAGGCUUACGGGCACCCGGGUGGCUCCAGUGGCUCAGAUGUAUGGCUCUUCGCCCGCGGGUGGGUGAUUUGGGGCAAGUAAUUUGGAUUUUCCAAGGCUCCACCUUCCCCUGUGUGCAGUGGGGGAAGAAGGGGUCACGUUCACUGGGUCAUUCUGAGGGCUGAGGGGGAGGUCAUUUCCAUCAAGUGGCCGACCCGGCACCUGGCCCGAGGUAGAAAAUCUGUCCUCAUAGCCUCAGAGCAGCGGGGCUGACACGCUCUGCCCGGAAUAUGCCAGAUCCUGCAGGAGCCUGCAUCUGUGCCCUGGGCCUGGGUGAGGAGCUCUUGCUUCCCUAAAUGGCCCCCAGGACGUCGCCUUCUCUCAUCAAGAAUGUGUGCCGAGGGUCGCAACGGAGAAGAGCUCUGGGAAUGGCUUCCCUUUCUAUCGUGAUGUCUUCUCUGCUCCAGGGCACAGCAGCAGACAGACCGGAUGGUGUCUUCUCCCCUCCUCAGGCUCCCCAGUGAUAUACCCUCUGAGUCUGAGCUGCAAGCCUCUCUCUGCCCCUUUGGGGACACUAGGAAUCCAUGGCAGGAGACUUCUGUGCUCGGAUACCCGAUGCUGUCCCUUUCUCGUGCCACAGCACGUCUGUCCACCAACCUCUCAGACUCUGCCCACACCCUCUGUCCUGUCUGGGACCCCCUACCCCACCCCUGGGCCACCCACAGCCUCUCCUUAGUCUCUGCUUCCCGGCCCAGCCCCUGGAGUCAGAGCAUCUAUUGACCACUCUGCUGAGUUCUGGACACCAGCCUUGUUUCUGGAGUCUUCCUCCCCCUUAAUUCCUCAUUUUCCUCAUUCUAAAGCCUGGCGCCCCCUCGGCCCCUUCUCCGUCUCCAUCCUGAGUUUCCAAAGCACAGCCCUUACCUGAACCCACAUCCUAGUUCUUCAGAAUGUACUGAUUAAACAAACUGUUGC